rnacentral:lncRNA from 1 species
AGUGGAAGGCUGCUGGGCUGCAGCAGUGAGAUGCUGGCAGCCUGGGGAGGUUGUGAUGGAGACGGAGGAGUCGGCUGUGAGCAAUGCUGGCUGCUCCCGUGGCUUCCAAGGAUGAGUGAAUAGGAUUUGCCAGGUCUGGGAACAGAGUGGAGGCAUUUAGCUCCCCUUCAGAUACUGUAAGGCCGCUCUCAGGUCUCCCCAGAGCCUUCUCCUCUCCGUGCUGAACAGCCCCAGCUCUCUCAGCCUGUGCUUCCAGGGGAGCUGUUCCAUCACUUGGAUCAUCGUUGUGGCCCUCCCGUGGACACGCUCCAACAGUCAUGAUGUGAGGGUCUCAGAGGAGCAGGCAGCAGAGGAGCUCACGUCCCUUCAACCACUGGUCAUUCAGGCAUCCCACUGCCUACGGCUGAAACCUGCAGGAGUGGCCAGGGAAGAUUUCUGCUUAUUGCUGCUCACCCCAGGCUCAGGCAAUGGCCCAAGUCAGUCCUGAGAGCAGGGACCUCUGCAAGCCCAGGUUCCACGGAGGCUGUGGCUGUUUCUGUAACUGCACUCAAUGCUCAGCGCUGGAUUGAGAGUGAGUGAGGUUGGAAGAGACCAAUGGAGUUUAUCUGAUCCCAAGUGGUGACCUGCUCUUGUAUGAGGAGAGAGCAGCAGGCAUCUCCUGCUCCACGUGCAGAUAAAAGAACCGAACUGUUGGAGAUGGGAGUGACAAGGACUGCAGCCUGCAGCCACAGCUGGAGCACAGGAACUGGCCAAGGAUGCUGCAGAGGAAACCACGG